rnacentral:tRNA from 1 species
ACCGGUAUAGUCCAACGGCUAGGAUAUCUCGCUUUCACCGAGGAGAUCAGGGUUCGAUUCCCUGUACCGGUG